CGGCAUGGAUUAGGCAUGCAAGUCGAACGGGAUCCGUUCGGGAUCCAGUGGCGGAAGGGUGAGUAACACGUGAGCAACCCGCCCCCAAGGCCGGAACAAGCGCUGGAAACGGCGUCUGAAACCGGAUGAGGACCUUCACCGCAUGGUGUGGCGUCCAAAUAUUCAUACCCUGGGGAUGGGCUCGCGGCCCAUUAGCUUGUCGGCGGGGCAACGGCCCACCGAGGCUGCGACGGGUAGGUGGUCUGAGAGGAUGGUCACCCACACUGGGACUGAGACACUGCCCAGACUCCUGCGGGAGGCUGCAGUCGAGAAUCUUCCGCAAUGGGCGCAAAAGCCUGACGGAGCGAUGCCGCGUGAGGGACGGAGGCCUUCGGGUCGUGAACCUCUGUCGCCCGGGACGAUGAUGACGGUACCGGGAAAGGAAGCCACGGCUAACCACGUGCCAGCCGCCGC
rnacentral:rRNA from 1 species